UUGUUUAUAAAAAUGAAAGAGAAACAAAAACAAGUUUACAAAAUCAGUAACUCUAUGAUUCCUCAGCGGCUCCAGACAUGAAAAACUUUAAAUACGUCCAUUUUAUCAUUAAUUGUAUUAGUUUAUAAAUUGUAUUGUUGUAAAGUGUAUUUUUGAACAAUAUUUUAAGUCACUCACUCUGUGUGUGUAUGUGUGUAUGCUCACUUUAACUAAAACUUCAUUGAAACAAAAAAUAUCGUAAUGUGAUCAAAACAUGUAAACAAUAUAUAAUUUUUAAUGACAUUUUGAUAGCAUCUUUUAAUCUUUAGUGGUGUGUAUUCUGACUGGGCAAAUGUAAUGAGUGGGGUACCACAAGGAUCGGUUAUUGGUCCACUACUGUUUUUGAUAUAUAUAAAUGACAUGCCAGAAAUAGUCAAGAACUUUUGUAAGCUUUUUGCAGAUGAUAGCCAGCUCGUCGCUACAAUCAAAAACAAUAUGAAAAAUCAACAUUUCCAAAAAAUCUUCAAAAAGAAUUGUGUCUUUACCCUGGAUCCCUGGAAUCAGUCCUAAGUUAAGAAGAGCUUUUAAAAAAGCAGGAUACGCACCAGUGUUUAAGUCUCCAAAAAAUCUCCUAAUUUCCAAAAAUAAACCUACACUACCAGUUAAUUUUUUUCCCGGUGUUUACAAAUUAAAGUGUUCUUGUGGCAAAUGUUAUGUUGGUGAAACUGGACUAAAGAUAUCGUCUCGGAUAUGCCAGCAUCAAACAAGUGCACAACAAGGUAAAGGGGAAAAUUCAGCUGUAGCCGAACAUUCCAAAAUUUGCCAAGGAAAAUUCAACUGGAAUGGUCGCAAUACGUUAAAAAUCGAAACAAAUAGUUUUAAUAGGAAAGUUAGGGAAGCCUUGGAAAUACAACUCAACGAAAGUACCUUUCGCGACAAUGGUCUUAAUCGAGAUGAUGGCGAUUAUGUAACGACGUCAUUUUCAAAUCCCAUGUUUAAAUUCUUACGACACAAAAAACUCACUUAAAUAACUCUCUUAAAAAGAAGCUCUUACAAAGAACAUUGUUUCGUUAAUUUAAACAAUUUUUAUAUAUAUA